CCUACGGGAGGCAGCAGUAGGGAAUCUUCCGCAAUGGACGAAAGUCUGACGGAGCAACGCCGCGUGAACGAUGAAGGCCUUCGGGUCGUAAAGUUCUGUUGUUAGGGAAGAACAAGUGCUAGUUAAAUAAGCUGGCACCUUGACGGUACCUAACCAGAAAGCCACGGCUAACUACGUGCCAGCAGCCGCGGUAAUACGUAGGUGGCAAGCGUUGUCCGGAAUUAUUGGGCGUAAAGCGCGCGCAGGCGGUUUCUUAAGUCUGAUGUGAAAGCCCCCGGCUCAACCGGGGAGGGUCAUUGGAAACUGGGAAACUUGAGUGCAGAAGAGGAAAGUGGAAUUCCAAGUGUAGCGGUGAAAUGCGUAGAGAUUUGGAGGAACACCAGUGGCGAAGGCGACUUUCUGGUCUGUAACUGACGCUGAGGCGCGAAAGCGUGGGGAGCAAACAGGAUUAGAUACCCUGGUAGUCCACGCUGUAAACGAUGAGUGACUAGUGUUAGACGGGUUUCCGCCGUUUAGUGCUGUAAAGUUACGCUAUUAAGCACUCCGCCGUGGGAGGUACGGUCGGCGAGACGAGAACGUAACGUAAAGUAAGUUAGACGUCGUUGAGAGNGCCGACGGCGACGACGAGGGAGGAGG
rnacentral:rRNA from 1 species